ensembl:snRNA U4 U4 spliceosomal RNA
AGCUUUGUGCUAUCCUAGCCAGUGCGAUUUAUCCAAGCCACGAUUAUUGCUAAUUGUAAACUUUUCCCAAUACCCCACCAUGACGACUUGAAAUAUAGUCAGCAUUGGCAAUUUUUGACAGUCUCUAUGGAGA